GGGCUUGACAUAUACAGGAAUGUUGUAGAGAUACAGCAGCCGCUUGCGGUCUGUAUACAGGUGCUGCAUGGCUGUCGUCAGCUCGUGCUGUGAAGUGUUGGGUAAGUCCCGCAACGAGCGCAACCCCUAUCAUCUGUUGCCAGCAUUUUAAGGUGGGGACUCAGAUGAGACUGCCGGUGGACAAACCGGAGGAAGGUGGGGACGACGUCAAGUCAUCAUGGCCCUUAUGUCCUGGGCUACACACGUGCUACAAUGGCCGGUACAGAGUGAAGCGAAACCGCGAGGUGAAGCAAAACGCAGAAAGCCGGUCUCAGUACGGAUUGGAGUCUGAAACUCGACUUCAUGAAGUUGGAAUCGCUAGUAAUCGCGCAUCAGCAUGGCGCGGUGAAUACGUUCCCGGGCCUU
rnacentral:rRNA from 1 species